rnacentral:rRNA from 1 species
CUACGGGGGGCUCCAGUGGGGAAUAUUGUACAAUGGAGGAAACUCUGAUGCAGCAACGCCGCGUGGAGGAUGACACUUUUCGGAGCGUAAACUCCUUUUAUAUAGGAAGAAGAUGACGGUACUAUAUGAAUAAGCGCCGGCUAACUCCGUGCCAGCAGCACGCGGUAAUACGGAGGGGGCAAGCGUUACUCGGAAUCACUGGGCGUAAAGAGCGUGUAGGCGGAUUAAAAAGUCAGAAGUGAAAUCCUAUAGCUUAACUAUAGAACUGCUUCUGAAACUCUUAAUCUAGAAUAUGGGAGAGGUAGAUGGAAUUUCUGGUGUAGGGGUAAAAUCCGUAGAGAUCAGAAGGAAUACCGAUUGCGAAGGCGAUCUACUAGAACAUUAUUGACGCUGAGACGCGAAAGCGUGGGGAGCAAACAGGAUUAGAUACCCCUGUAGUC